CCGAUCCAAAAGUUUGUUCUCCUACAUUAUCAAAUUUAAUUUUAAAAAAUAAAAAUCUAUAGCAUAGAGAUUAUCUAUCUAGAACCCUCUGUAGGGCUCACUAAGGGUUUACCGUCAAAUCCUCUUAGCCAUUUCUAUGGAUCCUUUGGUCCAUAUAAGAGAAAGAAAAGAAAAUAAACUAGGGAAGAGAGAGAUAGGAGGAAGAGAGAGAAGGAAGAACCUUCUCUUCUUAUGUUCUUCUUCAAAAUAGGGGAUAUCUUCUUCUUUUCCUCUUCUCUCAAACAUAGCAGUAGAAAAUCCAAGAUUGACAACACACGAUGGUGCCUGACGAUGGUAUCGCAAUGGCCCUGAC
rnacentral:lncRNA from 1 species